CCUACGUGAGGCAGCAGUAGGGAAUUUUGCGCAAUGGGCGAAAGCCUGACGCAGCAACACCGCGUGAGUGAUGAAGCAUCUUGGUGUGUAAAACUCUGUCAGAGGGGACGAAUUUUGACGGUACCCUCAAAGGAAGCAUCGGCUAACUACGUGCCAGCAGCCGCGGUAAGACGUAGGAUGCAAGCGUUGUCCGGAAUUAUUGGGCGUAAAGAGUUCGUAGGCGGCAUGAAAAGUCUGGUGUUAAAGCCCGGAGCUCAACUCCGGUUCGGCAUUGGAUACUUUCAAGCUAGAGUACAGAAGAGGCAAAGGGAAUUCCUAGUGUAGCGGUGAAAUGCGUAGAUAUUAGGAGGAACACCGGUGGCGUAAGCGCUUUGCUGGGCUGUAACUGACGCUGAGGAACGAAAGCCAGGGGAGCAAAUG
rnacentral:rRNA from 1 species